rnacentral:rRNA from 1 species
GUGAGGAAUAUUGGUCAAUGGGCGGGAGCCUGAACCAGCCAAGUCGCGCGAAGGAAGAAGGAUCUAUGGUUCGUAAACUUCUUUUGCAGGGGAAUAAAGUGCAGGACGUGUCCUGUUUUGUAUGUACCCUGAGAAUAAGGAUCGGCUAACUCCGUGCCAGCAGCCGCGGUAAUACGGAGGAUCCGAGCGUUAUCCGGAUUUAUUGGGUUUAAAGGGUGCGUAGGUGGUUUGAUAAGUCAGCGGUGAAAGUUUGCAGCUUAACUGUAAAAAUGCCGUUGAAACUGUCGGACUUGAGUGUAAAUGAGGUAGGCGGAAUGCGUGGUGUAGCGGUGAAAUGCAUAGAUAUCACGCAGAACUCCGAUUGCGAAGGCAGCUUACUAAGCUACAACUGACACUGAAGCACGAAAGCGUGGGGAUCAAACAGGAUUAGAAACCCGGGUAGUCC